UUUUGAAGAGCUUGCUCUUAUGAAGUUAGCGGCGGACGGGUGAGUAACACGUGGGUAACCUGCCCAUAAGACUGGGAUAACUCCGGGAAACCGGGGCUAAUACCGGAUAANAUUUUGAACCGCAUGGUUCGAAAUUGAAAGGCGGCUUCGGCUGUCACUUAUGGAUGGACCCGCGUCGCAUUAGCUAGUUGGUGAGGUAACGGCUCACCAAGGCAACGAUGCGUAGCCGACCUGAGAGGGUGAUCGGCCACACUGGGACUGAGACACGGCCCAGACUCCUACGGGAGGCAGCAGUAGGGAAUCUUCCGCAAUGGACGAAAGUCUGACGGAGCAACGCCGCGUGAGUGAUGAAGGCUUUCGGGUCGUAAAACUCUGUUGUUAGGGAAGAACAAGUGCUAGUUGAAUAAGCUGGCACCUUGACGGUACCUAACCAGAAAGCCACGGCUAACUACGUGCCAGCAGCCGCGGUAAUACGUAGGUGGCAAGCGUUAUCCGGAAUUAUUGGGCGUAAAGCGCGCGCAGGUGGUUUCUAAAGUCUGAUGUGAAAGCCCACGGCUCACCCGUGGAGGGUCAUGGGAAACUGGGAGACCUGAGUGCAGAAGAGGAAAGUGAAAUCCAUGUGUAGCGGUGAAAUGCGUAGAGAUAUGGAGGAACACCAGUUGGCGAAGGCAACUUUCUUGGUCGGUUACCUGACCACGAGGCCCGAAAAGCGUUGGGGAACCAACCGGAAUUGAAUCCCGUGNUAGUCCACGCCGUUAACGAAUGAGUCCUAAGUGUUAAGGGGUUCCGCCACUA
rnacentral:rRNA from 1 species